rnacentral:rRNA from 1 species
UAGCUAGUUGGUAGGGUAAGGGCCUACCAAGGCGACGAUCGGUAGCUGGUCUGAGAGGAUGGCCAGCCACACUGGAACUGAGACACGGUCCAGACUCCUACGGGAGGCAGCAGUGGGGAAUAUUGGACAAUGGGGGCAACCCUGAUCCAGCAAUGCCGCGUGUGUGAAGAAGGCCUGAGGGUUGUAAAGCACUUUCAGUGGGGAGGAGAGGACCUAGGUUAAGAGCUAGAGUUCUGGACGUUACCCACAGAAGAAGCACCGGCUAACUCCGUGCCAGCAGCCGCGGUAAUACGGAGGGUGCGAGCGUUAAUCGGAAUUACUGGGCGUAAAGGGUGCGUAGGUGGUUAGAUAAGUUAUCUGUGAAAUCCCUGGGCUCAACCUGGGCAGGUCAGAUGGUACUGUUUAACUCGAGUAUGGGAGAGGGUAGUGGAAUUUCCGGUGUAGCGGUGAAAUGCGUAGAGAUCGGAAGGAACACCAGUGGCGAAGGCGGCUACCUGGCCUAAUACUGACACUGAGGCACGAAAGCGUGGGGAGCAAACAGGAUUAGAUACCCUGGUAGUCCACGCUGUAAACGAUGUCAACUAGCUGUUGGUUAUAUAAAAAUAAUUAGUGGCGC